rnacentral:rRNA from 1 species
CGUAGGGCGCAAGCGUUGUCCGGAAUUAUUGGGCGUAAAGAGCUCGUAGGCGGCUUGUCACGUCGGAUGUGAAAGCCCGGGGCUUAACCCCGGGUCUGCAUUCGAUACGGGCUAGCUAGAGUGUGGUAGGGGAGAUCGGAAUUCCUGGUGUAGCGGUGAAAUGCGCAGAUAUCAGGAGGAACACCGGUGGCGAAGGCGGAUCUCUGGGCCAUUACUGACGCUGAGGAGCGAAAGCGUGGGGAGCGAACAGGAUUAGAUACCCUGGUAGUCCACGCCGUAAACGUUGGGAACUAGGUGUUGGCGACAUUCCACGUCGUCGGUGCCGCAGCUAACGCAUUAAGUUCCCGCCUGGGGAGUACGGCCGCAAGGCUA